GGCUGGUCUGAUGGUAGUAGAUUAUCAGAACUUACUAACAUUAGUGUCACUAAAGUUGGUAUACAAUCCCCCACUGCUAAAUUUGACUGGCUUUAA
ensembl:misc_RNA Y_RNA Y RNA